UGCCAGCAGCCGCGGUAAUACGUAGGGUGCAAGCGUUAUCCGGAAUUAUUGGGCUUAAAGGGUGCGUAGGCGGUGCGGUAAGUGAGGUGUGAAAGCCCACGGCUCAACCGUGGAAUUGCGCUUCAUACUGCGAUGCUUGAGGGAGACAGGGGUAAGCGGAACUGAUGGUGGGGCGGUGAAAUGCGUUGAUAUCAUCAGGAACACCAGUGGCGAAAGCGGCUUACUGGGUCUCUUCUGACGCUGAGGCACGAAAGCUAGGGUAGCGAACGGGAUUAGAUA
rnacentral:rRNA from 1 species